rnacentral:rRNA from 1 species
UUAAAGGAAUUGACGGGGAGCACCACAACGGGUGGAGCUUGCGGUUUAAUUGGAUUCAACGCCGGAAAUCUUACCGGGACCGACAGCAAUAUGAAGGCCAGGCUGAGGACUUUGCCGGAUUAGCUGAGAGGUGGUGCAUGGCCGUCGUCAGUUCGUACUGUGAAGCAUCCUGUUAAGUCAGGCAACGAGCGAGACCCACGCCCACAGUUGCCAGCGUACUCUCUGGAGUGACGGGUACACUGUGGGGACCGCCGCUGCUAAAGCGGAGGAAGGAAUGGGCAACGGUAGGUCAGUAUGCCCCGAAUAUCCCGGGCUACACGCGAGCUACAAUGGUUGGUACAAUGGGUAUCUACCCCGAAAGGGGACGGGAAUCUCCUAAAACCAAUCUUAGUUCGGAUUGAGGGCUGCAACUCGCCCUCAUGAAGCUGGAAUCCGUAGUAAUCGCGUUUCAACAGAACGCGGUGAAUACGUCCCUGCUCCUU